AAAACAGUUAAUUUUUAGCGCUUUAACAUGUAUUAAUAAUAUUGGUUAACGGAAACUGAAUCACACUUCAGAGUUCAGAUCAUAGAUAAAUAAAAAUCGAUCAGCUGAUCGAAUUUCGCUCCUAUAUUGUUCGUUGCUAGUAACUAAUGAAAUUAAAUCAAAUGUACUGUUGCGGUUUAACAAGUAGUACAAUACCGAUACUGAAUAUAGACAACACAUUUCAUUAAAUAAUGAAUAUCUGACAAUGUAAUUA